UACGUAGGGAGCGAGCGUUGUCCGGAUUCAUUGGGCGUAAAGAGCUCGUAGGCGGCUUGGUAAGUCGGAUGUGAAACCUCCAGGCUCAACCUGGAGUCGCCAUCCGAUACUGCCAUGGCUAGAGUCCGGUAGGGGCCCACGGAAUUCCUGGUGUAGCGGUGAAAUGCGCAGAUAUCAGGAGGAACACCGGUGGCGAAGGCGGGUCUCUGGGCCGUAACUGACGCUGAGGAGCGAAAGCGUGGGGAGCGAACAGG
rnacentral:rRNA from 1 species